CAUAUCAAUAAGCGGAGGAAAAGAAACCAACAGGGAUUGCCUCAGUAGCGGCGAGUGAAGCGGCAAAAGCUCAAAUUUGAAAUCUGGCGUCUUUGGCGUCCGAGUUGUAAUUUGAAGAAGGUAUCUUUGGGCCCGGCUCUUGUCUAUGUUCCUUGGAACAGGACGUCACAGAGGGUGAGAAUCCCGUGCGAUGAGAUGACCCGGGUCUGUGUAAAGUUCCUUCGACGAGUCGAGUUGUUUGGGAAUGCAGCUCUAAGUGGGUGGUAAAUUCCAUCUAAAGCUAAAUAUUGGCGAGAGACCGAUAGCGAACAAGUACAGUGAUGGAAAGAUGAAAAGAACUUUGAAAAGAGAGUGAAAAAGUACGUGAAAUUGUUGAAAGGGAAGGGCUUGAGAUCAGACUUGGUAUUUUGCAUGCUGCUCUCUCGGGGGCGGCCGCUGCGGUUUACCGGGCCAGCAUCGGUUUGGAGCGGCAGGAUAAUGGCGGAGGAAUGUGGCACGGCUUCUGCUGUGUGUUAUAGCCUCUGACGAUACUGCCAGCCUAGACCGAGGACUGCGGUUUUUAACCUAGGAUGUUGGCAUAAUGAUCUUAAGUCGCCCGUCUUGAACCACGGACC
rnacentral:rRNA from 1 species